rnacentral:tRNA from 1 species
CCUUCAUCAACCAAGCGCCACCACCUGCAAGGCAACCUGGCCGCCAUGGACCUGGAGCUGACCGU